rnacentral:misc_RNA from 1 species
GAUGAAGAACGUAGCGAAAUGCGAUACGUAAUGUGAAUUGCAGAAUUCAGUGAAUCGUCGAGUCUUUGAACGCACAUUGCGCCCCCUGGUAUUCCGGGGGGCAUGCCUGUCCGAGCGUCAUUGCUGCCCUCAAGCACGGCUUGUGUGUUGGGCCUCCGUCCUCCUCCCGGGGGACGGGCCCGAAAGGCAGCGGCGGCACCGCGUCCGGUCCUCGAGCGUAUGGGGCUUCGUCACCCGCUCUUGUAGGCCCGGCCGGCGCUUGCCGACACAUCAAUCUUUUUUCCAGGUUGACCUCGGAUCAGGUAGGGAUACCCGCUGAACUUAAGCAUAUCAAUAAGCGGAGGA